UGACUGUCUGAUUAGACCAGGUGGACACUCUAAACAUACAAGACGUUGACUGAUAUAGCCUUAUAGGUAGACAACAACUAUGAAUCUGACUGUUUUACUUCUUCUUUUACUGCCUAUGUACUGCAAAUCACAAAACUGUACUUAUAUGGUUACAGUUCCGAAGGUCACAAGGAUAGGGAUAGACCUCGAUGUAGCUAUCACAAUUUUUGUGAAGGUACCACAAAAGUUAAACAUUGUUACCCUCUUUAAAACUAGCAGUUCAAAAACUGUUGCAGGAGCAUCCAGAAUUUUCCGCGGAA